CACCACAGCAGCAUGUGGAUGACAGCCAUAGAGGACUCCGGGGGGAAAACACAUUUCAGACGCACUGAGAGAAGAAGUUAAGGUGCUAAGGUCCGGGUGGUAUCGGAUCACUGAGUGAAGAAGUGGUGCAGGUUGCUACCAUGCUAAGGACCUUUGCUGCUACUGG